AUGUACAUACAUCCUGAAACAUUUGAUCUCAUCUGACCUCGGAAGCUAAGCAGGGUUGGGGCUGGUUAGUACUUGGAUAGGAACCAUCGUCACUGUCCCUC
rnacentral:rRNA from 1 species